UUUCCGUAGGUGAACCUGCGGAAGGAUCAUUAGUAAAUUUUUUUUUGAAAUAAAAAAAAAAUAAUAAUCAUCCUACCCUUUGUGAAUUUGUUUUGUUGAAUAAUUUUUUAAAAUUAUUUAUUGUCUAUCCAAGUUGGAAAGUUGUAAAAGACUAGAAGACUUGAAGCGGCAUAAAUAAAUUUAAAGACUUUUUUCUAAAAUUAAACUUUUGUAUUCAUUUGUCUAAAAUAAUUUUUAUAAUAUAUAAAAACAACUUUUGACAAUGGAUCUCUUGGUUCUCGCAACGAUGAAGAACGCAGCAAAAUGCGAUAAGUAAUGUGAAUUGCAGAAUACGUGAAUCAUCGAAUCUUCGAACGCAUAUUGCACUUUUUUAGUUUACUAAAAAAGUAUGUCUGUUUGAGUAUCAGUAAAAUAUUCUCAUAAAAUUUUUAAUUUUAUGGUUAUGAGUGUUUUACAACGAUAAACAAGUUGUUUCACUUUAAAUUGAAUUUUUUGAAGAAAUUCUUAAUUCAAAUUAAAUUUGGAUAAAAUUUUCCCGUAAGAAGGAAUAACUAUACAAGUUUAAUAAGAAUUUAGUGAUUUCUUUUAUGAAAAGGAAAUUUAUUAAAUAACUUGAUCUCAAAUCAGAUAAGAGUACCCGCUGAACUUAAGCAUAUCAAUAAGCGGAGGAAAAGAAACUAACAAGGAUUCCCCUAGUAACGGCGAGUGAAGCGGGAAGAGCUCAAAUUUGAAAUCUUAAAGGGUUUCCCUUUACGAAUUGUAGUUUAAAGAAGUGUUUUCUGUUGAGGUUUUGGUAAAAGUUCUUUGGAAUAGGACAUCAUAGAGGGUGAGAAUCCCGUAUUUGACCUAUACUUUCAACUUUGUGAUACACUUUCAAAGAGUCGGAUUGUUUGGGAAUGCAGUCCAAAAUGGGUGGUAAAUUUCAUCUAAAGCUAAAUAUUGGCGAGAGACCGAUAGCGAACAAGUACCGUGAGGGAAAGAUGAAAAGAACUUUGAAAAGAGAGUUAAACAGUACGUGAAAUUGUCAAAAGGGAAGCGUUUGACACCAGUGUUGUUUUUCUGAAAAUCAAUUAAAGGACUGUUUAUGCUAAGUUGUUUAGACUUUAUCAGCUAACUGUUUAGUUUUGAGCUUUUCUUUAAUGCACUUUUCAGUUAACAAGUCAACAUCAAUUUCUUUUGCUGUAAAAAAGCUUGAGGAAGGUGGCUUGAGAUUCGUCUUAAGUGUUUAUAGCCUCUUGCCUAUGCAGUCGGAGAGAUUGAGGUCUGCAGCGUAGAUCCUUCGGGGCUAAAUGCAUUUGUGCUAAGUUAUAGCAUUUUAUAGACAACUUGUUGACUAUGAUUUGUCUUGUAGCUUACUCGCUUAUGUUAUUUUACCUACGCUUAGGAUGUUG
rnacentral:misc_RNA from 1 species